GCUGGCGGCGUGCCUAUCAUGCAAGUCGAGCGAACUGAUUAGAAGCUUGCUUCUAUGACGUUAGCGGCGGACGGGUGAGUAACACGUGGGCAACCUGCCUGUAAGACUGGGAUAACUUCGGGAAACCGAAGCUAAUACCGGAUAGGAUCUUCUCCUUCAUGGGAGAUGAUUGAAAGAUGGUUUCGGCUAUCACUUACAGAUGGGCCCGCGGUGCAUUAGCUAGUUGGUGAGGUAACGGCUCACCAAGGCAACGAUGCAUAGCCGACCUGAGAGGGUGAUCGGCCACACUGGGACUGAGACACGGCCCAGACUCCUACGGGAGGCAGCAGUAGGGAAUCUUCCGCAAUGGACGAAAGUCUGACGGAGCAACGCCGCGUGAGUGAUGAAGGCUUUCGGGUCGUAAAACUCUGUUGUUAGGGAAGAACAAGUACGAGAGUAACUGCUCGUACCUUGACGGUACCUAACCAGAAAGCCACGGCUAACUACGUGCCAGCAGCCGCGGUAAUACGUAGGUGGCAAGCGUUAUCCGGAAUUAUUGGGCGUAAAGCGCGCGCAGGCGGUUUCUUAAGUCUGAUGUGAAAGCCCACGGCUCAACCGUGGAGGGUCAUUGGAAACUGGGGAACUUGAGUGCAAAAGAGAAAGCGGAAUUCCACGUGUAGCGGUGAAUGCGUAAAGAUGUGGAGGAACACCAGUGGCGAAGGCGGCUUUUUGGUCUGUACUGACCCUGAGGCCGAAACGUGGGGAGCAACAGGAUUAAAUACCUGGUAUCCCCCCUAACAAUAAAUGCUAAUGUUAAAGGUUUCC
rnacentral:rRNA from 1 species